rnacentral:lncRNA from 1 species
UCUUGAAACUAAAUAAUCAUAAUUAUGGACUCUCCUAAUAAGAAAUAUAUUUUCUUGUUUAACAUUCUGUUCUACAUUUAAUUUAAAUAGAACUCUAAAACAUUAAAUGAUUACAACAACAAAAGUUGAUGACUGCAUGUGAAUAACAUAUCAACGUUUACAAUCUUGUGAGAAUGGUACAACAUAAUCAAUACAACCCAACAAAUGAAAUCAAUUGGUUCAUGGUUGAAUUAGUUUUUUUUUUUACAUUAAAAAUCACAAUGUAUACACUAAAUUACACUAAACUUAUCGACAGUGCCGGACCAAUCAAUUCAGAUGCCCGCGUCUAACUUUUUUAAAUAUGCCCUUUUAUAUAUUUUUUAAAAUGAAAAUAAUAAAAAAAUAAAACAAAAACAUUAUAAAACAAUUUCAAAUUCCAGAAACGGUUUGUAAAAAAAGAAAAGAUCCAAUAAAACAUAUAGUUUAUUGCUGAAAUAUAGAUCUUCUUUUCAUUUUUCCGUGUAAAAUCAUUCAUUAAUCUGUUGUAGUCGAGUUUUUCAACCAUAGCUGUCUCAAUUGAUAAAAAAGCUAACCCCGUUUUUGUUGUUUUCUGGUGAUAAAGAUAACUAAAGAGGUUUUGCUAGAGUGAGUUGAGGAAUGUAACGGGCCAUAGGUGGACGCGGAUUCACUUGGGGGUGUGGGGGGGGCUUCGCCCCCCACGGUACGGUUUUUUUAUUGAGCUAGAUUUAGGUUUUCUUUUAUCUAGUGGGUUUGGGAGUCGGG